rnacentral:antisense_RNA from 1 species
GUGCUUCUGCCACUGUUCCAUCUGCAAUUGAGCACGCUUUCUGCAGAAGGUAAAAAUGGCCUUGCUGAGAGACCUUUUGUCUCUGUGCUGACUUUCCUUUGUGGAAUCAAUGAUCUAUUUCUAACAAUUUUAAUAUCUCUAGCAAUUUUGGUGGCAAUCAUAUGGGGAUACAUUCUCCUCUGGGGGCAUCUCUAGUCCUCUUUCAUGCGGAGGUGCCACGCCACCUCUUGCGAUGGCCUCAGGGGUAAGGGAUCAAGACCCACCUGGUGCAAGGAAUAACCCGAACUCUCAGCAAUGCAGAAAGAAACUGGCCAGCAACCUAGAUUAAAGGAUCCUCACAUACUGCAGUGACAACUUUGUGCACAGACCAAGGAAGGCAAAGCCACAGGAGCUGGUCUUUUAGCACAGGUGCCGCCCUUGGAGUUUCCAGUACAUCAGCAUCAGCCUGGGGAUCACAUUCUCAUCAAAGGAUGGAAAGAAGGGAAACUCAGGCCAGCCUUGGAAGGACCGUAUCUUGUGCUGCUAACCAUCGAGACUGCUGUUCAUGCAGCGGAAAGGGAUGGACACAUCACACCCGAGUCAAGCAAGUGCCGUUAUCCUUAGAAUCAUGGGCCAUUGUUCCUGUAUCAAGCUCUACCAAAUUAAAGCUAAGGAAAGCUUAGUCUAUCUAUCUUUUCCUUUCCUUUCCUUACCCAGUGCUUAAAUCCAUUACUAUUCCUACCGCCAGCAACUCUAACCCCACUGUAGGGCACUUCUGUGGUUUAGGAGCAGAGGUCACUGGAAAGGAUCCUAUAGACUUCUUUAAGGUGCACUUUUUUCUCCCUCCUCCACCUCCUACAGCUGCCCCUUUCCCAAAUCUACAAAAUCAAACUAUGACUUGCCUCAUGCCAAAUGACUAAAGCAAGGUCUCAGUAGUAGAAAUAGGAGACCUACGGCAAACCAUAGCCAUUGAAACGGGGUAUAAAGAUGUAAAUGCCUGGUUAAAAUGGAUUAAAUGUUCUGUUUGCACUUUAA